GCCUCCUUAGCUCAGUGGUAGAGCACUCGCCUUGUAAGCGAGCGGCCGUCAGUUCAAUCCUGACAGGGGGCUC
rnacentral:tRNA from 1 species